GCAUCUGUAGCUCAGUGGAUAGAGCACCUAUUUCCUAAGCAGAAGGUCAUAGGUUCAACUCCUACCUAACGCG
rnacentral:tRNA from 1 species